AUGACUCCCAUCAUCACCACCUUUACUUUCUUGAUAAUCUGGGCUGCAGGUGUUUCUGAGUCUGUACUGAUCACUCAGUGGCCCCGCUACAUCUCCAGCUCUUCCAAUGGCUCAGCAGAGAUGCACUGUUACCAGAAUGACACUGAAUAUCAAUAUCUGUACUGGUACAGACAGCUGAGAGGAAAAGGUUUCCAGCUGGUGGUGGCUACUGUAGCUGGCAUUUCACAAUUUGAAGAGGGAUUCAAAUCUGGUUUUCAGGCAGGGAAAAAGGAGAAGCAGUGGUCUCUGAGAAUAACGAGCAUUCAGGAGGAAGAUGGGGCUGUUUAUCUUUGUGCUGCAAGGCUACACGGACCCAAACAUUCAGAGGCUUACUUUGGAGCUGGAACUAAACUCACUGUUUUAGAGCAAGGGCGUACUCCCGUAAAACCAACAGUAGAAAUACUGAAGCCAUCAGAACGUGAGUGCAGAAACAACAAAGACAAAAAAAGGAAGAAGACCCUCGUCUGUGUGGGCUCUAAAUUCUAUCCUGACCACGUUAGUGUUUCCUGGGAAAGCGAUGGGGAAGCCAUCACUAAGGGUGUAGCAACAGAUGAAGCUGCCCAGCGGGUUGGAGACUUCUACAGGAUCACAAGCAGGCUGAGAGUCUCUGCUAAAGACUGGUACACGGAGGGAAAACCAUUUACCUGCAUUGUCAGUUUCUUUAAUGGAACCAACACAAAUGAAACUGCCACAAUAAUCGGUGUUAAAGGUGUUUCAGAUGGAGGCAUCACAAGAGAGAAAUAUUUGAACAUCGCAAAUCAAGCCAAACUCUCCUACUGUGUUUUUAUCGUCAAGAGCUGCAUUUAUGGCGCCUUUGUUGGAUAUUUGGUGUGGAAGCUUCAGAGUUCAUCAGGAAAACGCAAACAUUAAGAGCUGAGCUGGCAACUGGCCAAAGCAUCUUUGGGACAUGGAUCAUUUAAGUUUUUGUAAAUAAAACCUGUAAAAUAUGGUGCUUAUACUGCCACAACCUUGUACUGCAGCACAUUUGAAUUCAUAUAUACCUUCUAAACCUAGAGUAAAAGAUCAAUGCAGAUUAAAUUACAGAUUAAAGCUGCUGUUUGUUGUUGUUGCUUUAUGUUUUUUAGAAACCUUGGCUGUGUUCUUGUUGAAUAAUUUCCACUUAAUGCUUAACUUUCUUAUCAAUAAACAAUCAUGAGAAGA